UAGAAACCCUCGAUCCCCAAAUCAGAAGCCCCAGCCCUCGUCUCCACCCCAUCUCGCCGCUGCCAGACCUAACCCUCGCCUCCGCCGCCAGACCUAACCCUCGCCGCCACCGCUGCCGCCGCAGCAGCGGUCGCCGCCUUUGUCGUCCCACUCCGCUGCUCCAGGCCGGCGCAUCCACCCUUGAGACUGCACAUCCCCUCGUUUCUUGUACCUUCUCUAUCCUCUCGCCGGUCAAGCGAACCACACCUUGUCCUCCUCGCGCCUACGCGCAGCCUCACCACGAGCCCGAGCGCGCCUUCCUCACAUCGUCACCACCGUCGAUCCUCCACACCAAGAAGCCGGCGGCUACUUUCUGUUGAGAGACGCAUCCUGAACAAUGAGAGACCAGGUGAGUGGUGGCUCCAUGGACAUGGAGUACUAUGCAUCGGGUUGACGAACUCUCCAGGGCGCUCACCGGUAUAAUUUUUCUUAGAUCCUACUGUUGCAUCUUUAUUCUUGCUUGUGUAUUUAUCAAGUGCAAUCCCAUGCUUUUUGAUUUUUUUUCAUGACAGAUCUUGGCUUUUGUUCUGACCUUGUGUACAUGAAGGCGCAUGGAUCACCUAAUUUCAACUCUGACGCAGAGCAAUAAAAUGUAAUUGGAAGAAGGCUUAACUUCUACUCCCUCCGUUCCGAAAUAAUUGUCUUUCUAGAGAUUUCAACAAGUGACUACAUACGGAGCAAAAUGAGUGAAUCUACACUCUAAAACAUGUCUACAUACAUCCGUAUGUUGUAGUCUAUUUGAGAUGGCUAGAAAGACAAUUAUUUCGGAACGGAGGGAGUAUUAUCAGGCAAUUAAUUAUGUUGUUUGUAUACUUUAAUCUUAUCAUACUGUUUGUAUACCAUUCUUUGUCCAGUAUGACCAAGAUCAUCUUAUCUGUGUUGAGCCCCUAGCUGCUAUUUUUGUUCAGUAUGAAUGUUACUACAUUUCUGUUUCCUUCUUGAUAAUUUUAUUCUCUAAUUUUUCUGUACAUACUGUUUGUUCUAUCAUUAUCUUAGGAUUUAGGAAGCAUUGAGCAAGUUGCACUACAAGUAUACGGAGCAUCAUCAAUGCAACAGAGGCUGCGACAAUAAUUAAGUUAAGGUUGUCACUCGAUGGCAAAAAGUUGCAUCAUAUCCUUCCAAAUGCAGAAUCAACUUGGAUGAAACUGCUUGCCAUAUUGCCACUACACUGUUUAGUUGAAACUAUUCUAUGUCGGGACACACAUCCUCUUGAGAUUGUAUACUACUAUUUCCUCAAAGUGCAGGUUAAGAAGAGCAUCUUGCGACCUAAGCUCCAGCAAAACAUUGUAGAAAAUGGUCUCAAAUUGUGAAUAUUUAGUUGAUGCACGUGUGCAUUUUUGAGAAGUUGUACCUCUGUUUUUGUUGACUUUUGAUUCAUGUAUGUAAAUUCUAUGCAGUUAUAUCAGAAGAUAUGUGAAUUUGUAACUUAUUAUUCGUAGAAAAAUUCAAGAUUCGGGGUCUAUGAGAGAUUCAAGAGCUUCUAAUCAAGGGCAACCUUGAAGAGAAGCUUGCAACUUAAGCUGGCAACUAAAGAUUAUAGAAAAUGAGGUCUAUUGUGUAUAUUUAGUUGAUGCACUUGUGUGUUUUUAGAUGUUGAACCUCUGUUUUCGUUGACCUUCCAUUCAUUAUGUAAACUCUAUGCAAUUGUAUCCGAAGACAUGUGAAUUUGUAUCUCUGGUUGAAGGAAACAAUUGAUAGUGAUGUUUCUAUUCUGGAAUAGCUAUUUAUAAAACUGUCUAUAUUUUUU